AUAUUAUAAAGUAAUCAUCUGUAAAAGGACCCUGAAUGCCAAAUAUAAUGCAGGCUGAGUGUCUAUGGUUGUGCUGUAUAAACCUUGAAAACAUCAGUUUAUAGAUUGGAAAUGCUGACAACCCAUGAACUACAAUGCUGCGACCAGAUAAUUGAAUCCACAUUCCCAUGCAUUUGGAAAAUCAAUAACUGUUAGAAGCAAAGGGCACUACCUUAAAAGCCCAAUGAGCACUUCAUGCAAAUGGGAGGGUUAUUGGAAUGAAAAGCUGGCUGUGAAACACACAUCAUGUGCCAGAUGUCUGCCAGAGCAUCAUGUUCGAAAGACUUAGUGCACUAAAUACAUGCAUGACCUAGCCCUGAGCAAACACCAUCAUUUCUUCUUUCUUCCAGAUUUAGGAUGAUAAAUGGCCUGCUGUGCCAGCCUCAGAAAUUGCCAAGUUCAGGGAUCUUGAGCUGAGGGCAAACGAAUCCAGGCACGAAUGAGCCCUCCUGUGAUACAUGAAGUGGUGGUCCUAUGGCUAGCAGAGAUACCUGGCUGCGUGCAAGAGCCAGCAGACUACACAAGAGCACAGCCCACAGCGACUCUGUAAGUAUGCAGACCAAGGGAAUUCGUUCUGACAGCUGGCCACAUUGGCAGGGCAGGCAGUGCCUGCAGCAGCAGAAUUUGGGAGCUGUAGAGAUUUGUCUCUGCCUGCAGCACAUCCAUGCAGGCCCAGGCUGCUGUGGGUGCUGCUGUGAGAAUGCUAGGGCCAGGGUGCCUGGAGCAGUGCUUCUGACCCCAUCGCUCCUCUCUGCAGCAAGAGACCCUGCACGGCUUCCUCAUGCUGCUUCCCCUCUCCCUGGGGCUUGGGAGUCGCACCCUAUUGUAACUUUGGCUUUCUUCCCAGCAGCCUAAAGACAACGUAAUAUUUCUCUCUGGGAGUCAUCCUUUAUCCAUC
ensembl:lncRNA